AGGAAAGCAGGCCAAUCAAGUUAUGAGAGACGAUCCCAACUUAGCUGUCGCGGUGAUGCGAGGUAUCGGCCAAGGCCUCGGACGCAUGCACGAUGCAGCAUCCGGAAUCAGCAUGGAAGAA
rnacentral:ribozyme from 1 species